GGUUAAGCGACUAAGCGUACACGGUGGAUGCCCUGGCAGUCAGAGGCGAUGAAGGACGUGCUAAUCUGCGAUAAGCGUCGGUAAGGUGAUAUGAACCGUUAUAACCGGCGAUUUCCGAAUGGGGAAACCCAGUGUGUUUCGACACACUAUCAUUAACUGAAUCCAUAGGUUAAUGAGGCGAACCGGGGGAACUGAAACAUCUAAGUACCCCGAGGAAAAGAAAUCAACCGAGAUUCCCCCAGUAGCGGCGAGCGAACGGGGAGCAGCCCAGAGCCUGAAUCAGUGUGUGUGUUAGUGGAAGCGUCUGGAAAGGCGUGCGAUACAGGGUGACAGCCCCGUACACAAAAAUGCACAUGCUGUGAGCUCGAUGAGUAGGGCGGGACACGUGGUAUCCUGUCUGAAUAUGGGGGGACCAUCCUCCAAGGCUAAAUACUCCUGACUGACCGAUAGUGAACCAGUACCGUGAGGGAAAGGCGAAAAGAACCCCGGCGAGGGGAGUGAAAAAGAACCUGAAACCGUGUACGUACAAGCAGUGGGAGCACGCUUAGGCGUGUGACUGCGUACCUUUUGUAUAAUGGGUCAGCGACUUAUAUUCUGUAGCAAGGUUAACCGAAUAGGGGAGCCGAAGGGAAACCGAGUCUUAACUGGGCGUUAAGUUGCAGGGUAUAGACCCGAAACCCGGUGAUCUAGCCAUGGGCAGGUUGAAGGUUGGGUAACACUAACUGGAGGACCGAACCGACUAAUGUUGAAAAAUUAGCGGAUGACUUGUGGCUGGGGGUGAAAGGCCAAUCAAACCGGGAGAUAGCUGGUUCUCCCCGAAAGCUAUUUAGGUAGCGCCUCGUGAAUUCAUCUCCGGGGGUAGAGCACUGUUUCGGCAAGGGGGUCAUCCCGACUUACCAACCCGAUGCAAACUGCGAAUACCGGAGAAUGUUAUCACGGGAGACACACGGCGGGUGCUAACGUCCGUCGUGAAGAGGGAAACAACCCAGACCGCCAGCUAAGGUCCCAAAGUCAUGGUUAAGUGGGAAACGAUGUGGGAAGGCCCAGACAGCCAGGAUGUUGGCUUAGAAGCAGCCAUCAUUUAAAGAAAGCGUAAUAGCUCACUGGUCGAGUCGGCCUGCGCGGAAGAUGUAACGGGGCUAAACCAUGCACCGAAGCUGCGGCAGCGACGCUGAUGCGUUGUUGGGUAGGGGAGCGUUCUGUAAGCC
rnacentral:rRNA from 1 species